rnacentral:rRNA from 1 species
UACGAACUGUGCGAACGUUAUUCGGAAUCACUGGGCUUACAGGGUGCGUAGGCGGCUUGUUAAGUAGGGUGUGAAAGCCCCCGGCUCAACCGGGGAAUUGCGCCCUAAACUGGCGAGCUGGAGUGAGAUAGGGGUGUGUGGAACUUCCGGUGGAGCGGUGAAAUGUGUUGAUAUCGGAAGGAACGCCGGUGGCGAAAGCACACACUGGAUCUUGUCUGACGCUGAGGCACGAAAGCCAGGGGAGCGAACGGG